CAUAGUAUGUCUGAGUAUUUUCAGUUAUGCUAACAUCUGCUAAUGGCCUAAAAGGCUAGCUUUGAAUUUAGGAUUUUCAGAUUCCUCAAAGUUCUAUGGCAGAAGGUGGCAGCACCAGGAGAACCAGCCCCAGCCCGGGUUAUGCGCCAGCCAUGUCCACAUUCAUAGACCCAAGGAUGACGAUAACCACCACAGACAAAGUGGUUUCUCAGAGUGUGUACUUGGGCUGAGGCCACAUGCCUACAUUAGCCUGCUUCUAAUAGUGCCCCCACCCCCUCCGGCUGGCUCCUGGUGAAGCAGCACGAGCUGGGAAACAGAGGAGACCCUGUGGCCCAGCUGAGAAGCCCAGGUGCUCUCUAGAGGUAAAUGAGUCAAAAGGAAGUGGCCAGUUUCAUUAGCCAAAUAGGCUACUCUAGAAGUCGUAGCU